rnacentral:lncRNA from 13 species
CUGGGCUGCGGCUCUCACAGGCCUCCCCGCGCCCGCCGCUGCGCUCCGGGCCAGGCGCCGCGCGGGCUACACCGGCGCCCGCUCCCCGGCCCCCGUGCGCCCCAUCACUUCCUCCCAGGAAAGGCCGAGUGGCGCUGCGAAAAGCACCGUCGCCGCCACGAGCGCCCGAUUCGCUGGGCAGCUAGGUAUAGGUUCUUUCCCCGGCAGGCGGGUCCGACUUCCACGUUAGCCAACGGCAGCAAGAUGGAGAAGGACAACUAUGCAUACAAGAAAAAACUGGAAAUAGUUGCGAGCCUUUGAAAUUAUAAUCACUCUGAUCCAUAUGCACAGCAUAAAUCCAGGCUCUUUGAAAUUGACAAAGACUCUCUCCUUUAACCAAAAUCUCAGGCUCCUCUGAGUCCUCAGCUUGGCCUGCUUUUGCUUCAAAAUCAAAUUCAUUCUUUGAAAUAUGAUGAAACAGUUUUGUCAAUAUGGAUGCAAAUGUGAAGGAUAAUGAUUUUUGGUGUUCAUUCAGUAAUUGGAAAGCUUAUGUUUCAAACAAUUUGGGUAUGUACAUCUAGUUUUUCAAAUUCAAAGAUAUGAAAAUCAAGUACCAAUAAAAUAUUUUGAUGAAAAUUUAGCA